GCCCGGCUAGCUCAAUCGGUAGAGCGUAAGACUCUUAUUACGUCUCUGUUAAAGCGAUUAAUUUGCAAUCUUAAGGCUGUGGGUUCGACCCCCACGUCGGGCU
rnacentral:tRNA from 1 species